GACGAGCAACGCGACUGGCGGCGGACGGGUGGGCAACCACCGGGGAGCUGAUCGACGCGCGGAUCGACCGCCUGGGUCCGCGAC
rnacentral:ncRNA from 2 species